rnacentral:rRNA from 1 species
UGGGGAAUUUUGCGCAAUGGGCGAAAGCCUGACGCAGCAACGCCGCGUGCGGGAUGAAGGCCUUCGGGUCGUAAACCGCUUUCAGCAGGGACGAAAUUGACUGUACCUGCAGAAGAAGCCCCGGCUAAAUACGUGCCAGCAGCCGCGGUAAUACGUAUGGGGCAAGCGUUAUCCGGAUUCAUUGGGCGUAAAGCGCGCGUAGGCGGAUCGUUAAGUCAGAUGUGAAAUCCGGGGGCUCAACCCGCGGCCUGCAUCUGAAACUGGCGGUCUUGAGUCUGGUAGAGGAAAGUGGAAUUCCCAGUGUAGCGGUGAAAUGCGCAGAUAUUGGGAGGAACACCAGUGGCGAAGGCGGCUUUCUGGGCCACGACUGACGCUGAGGCGCGAAAGCUAGGGGAGCAAACAGG